AUGAUGGGAUUAAAAAGCAUCAUGACGAUUUAUCUUUGUUAAUAAAAGCCCACACUUGCAAGGAGGAGAGAAAGCAAGAAAGAAAAGACCAUAUACACGUGUUUUGUCCCCAUAAAAAAAGCACAGGAAAAAGAAAGAUACACAUAUCACGCCUCUCAUAUGCCAGCGUCACCCACAAUCAUCACCCGUCCACCACCUUGCGAUCCAAGAAAGAAAAAAAAAAGAAAACAAGGGGUCAGCUCAAUCGGGAAGGAGUGAAUAUUGUGUGCAACGAAAAAAUCUCCAUGGAUGCAUCGUUGAAGAUGAAGAGAGAUGAGAAGAGAGGCGAUUCAAUGCUGAAUAUUGGGGAAGCCCUAGGUUGGGUGAAAGACUCACAUAAAGAAGAUUAUGUAAUGGCGGAUAUGUAUGAUCAACAGUCCUUAACGAGACAUCAGCAGGUUCAAAAUAAAUUGUGAUUAGAGUUUACAUCAAUUUGCACUGGCAGAACAUGAAAAGUUUACAUCAAUUCAGCUAUCUCAGUACAUGUAUCUACAAAACUGCAGCUAAACUGUCUAUUGAUAAAUAUCCAUGUAUCCAGUGAGAAAUAAAUAUGCAUCUUGGGGGCGAA